AAACGUAGGGGGCAAGCGUUGUCCGGAAUUACUGGGCGUACAGAGCGCGUAGGCGGCCUGUCAAGCGGAGGGUGAAAUCCCGGAGCUCAACUUCGGAACCGCUUUCCGAACUGGCAGGCUAGAGUAUGGGAGAGGGUAGUGGAAUUCCUGGUGUAGCGGUGGAAUGCGUAAAUAUCAGGAGGAACACCAGUGGCGAAGGCUGCUACCUGGAACAUUACUGACGCUGAGGCGCGAAAGCUAGGGGAGCGAACGGGAUUAGAUACCCCGGUAGUCCUAGCCGUAAACGAUGGACACUAGGUGUUGGAGGAUCGACCCCUUCAGUGCUGUUCUGUUAACGCGUUAAGUGUCCCGCCUGGGGAGUACGGCCGCAAGGCUAAA
rnacentral:rRNA from 1 species